rnacentral:misc_RNA from 1 species
UUUGAUCUGAAUUGGCGGCAUUUGAAAAAUGCAGCCUUUUUGCUUUGUGAACUGUCUUGUACUGUUGUUUUUUUUAAUAGUUGCUUUUUUCUUCGGAAAAAAAAAUAAAGA